rnacentral:rRNA from 1 species
AGAGUUUGAUCCUGGCUCAGGACGAACGCUGGCGGCGUGCCUAACACAUGCAAGUCGAACAGGGAUACGUUUUCGGAUGUAUUCUAGUGGCGCACGGGUGAGUAACGCGUGAGCGACCUGACCCAAAGAGGGGGAUAACGUCGAGAAAUCGAUGCUAAUACCGCAUAAGACCACGGUAUCGCAUGGUACAGAGGUCAAAGGAGCAAUCCGCUUUGGGAGGGGCUCGCGUCCCAUUAGAUAGUAGGCGGGGUAACGGCCCACCUAGUCAACGAUGGGUAGCCGAGCUGAGAGGCUGAUCGGCCACACUGGAACUGAGACACGGUCCAGACUCCUACGGGAGGCAGCAGUAGGGAAUAUUGGGCAAUGGGGGGAACCCUGACCCAGCAACGCCGCGUGAGGGAAGAAGGUUUUCGGAUUGUAAACCUCUGUCCUAUGUGACGAAGAAAGUGACGGUAGCAUAGGAGGAAGCCCCGGCUAACUACGUGCCAGCAGCCGCGGUAAUACGUAGGGGGCGAGCGUUGUCCGGAAUUACUGGGCGUAAAGGGUGCGUAGGCGGCCGAUUAAGUUGGAUGUGAAAUACCCGUGCUCAACAUGGGGGGUGCAUUCAAAACUGGUUGGCUAGAGUACAGGAGAGGGAAGCGGAAUUCCUAGUGUAGCGGUGAAAUGCGUAGAUAUUAGGAGGAACACCAGUGGCGAAGGCGGCUUUCUGGACUGACACUGACGCUGAGGCACGGAAGCGUGGGGAGCAAACAGGAUUAGAUACCCUGGUAGUC